rnacentral:sRNA from 1 species
UUGAUAGCAACUGACAGACUUUAUCCACAAAAUAGGCAUAGUACAGGAAGUGACAGUAAAACUUUCCCCUUUGAUGUCCUGCUGUUAAACCUAAACAAAGAGCUGGGUCCAGUUCAGGGUUUCAGUCACCACACCCAUUCAGUCUACCUUUCUACU